AUGGAUGGAAGCAAUCACAGUGGAGUCUCUGAGUUCCUGCUCCUAGGGCUCUCAGAGAGUCCUGAGCAGCAGCAGGUUCUGUUCUGGAUGUUCCUGUCCAUGUACCUGGUCACAGUGGUGGGAAAUGUGCUCAUCAUCCUGGCCAUCAGAUUUGAUCCCCACCUGCACACUCCCAUGUACUUCUUCCUGGCCAACCUCUCCUUCACAGACCUCUUCUUUGUCACCAAUACAAUCCCCAAGAUGCUGGUGAGCCUUCAGUCUCAGAACAAGCCAUCUCCUAUGUGGGGUGUCUAACACAGCUCUACUUCCUGGUCUCCUUGGUGGCCCUGGACAACCUCAUCCUGGCCACAAUGGCAUAUGAUCGCUAUGUGGCCAUCUGCCGCCCCCUCCACUACACCACGGCCAUGAGCCCUGGGCUCUGUGUUUUGCUCCUCACCUUGUGUUGGGCACUUUCUGUCCUCUAUGGCCUCACCCAUACCCUCCUUAUGACCAGGGUGACAUUCUGUGGUUCCCGGAAGAUCCACUACAUCUUCUGUGAGAUGUACGUCCUGCUGAGGCUUUCAUGUUCCAACAUCCAAGUCAAUCACACAGUGCUGAUUGCUACAGGGUCCUUCAUCUUCCUCGCCCCACUAGGGUUCAUGAUCAUGUCCUAUGUCUGCAUCGUCAGAGCCAUCCUCCGAAUACCCUCAGCCUCUAGCAAGUAUAAAGCCUUCUCUACAUGUUCCUCCCAUUUGGCUGUGGUCUCCCUCUUCUAUGGGACACUUUGUAUGGUAUAUCUGCAGCCCCUCCAAACGUACUCCACGAAGGACUCAGUAGCCACAGUGAUGUAUGCUGUGGUGACCCCCAUGAUGAACCCUUUCAUCUACAGCCUGAGGAAUAAGGACAUGCAUGGGGCUCUGGGAAGACUGCUCCUAGGAAAAGCCUUCCAGAGGUUGACAUGA